UUUCCGUAGGUGAACCUGCGGAAGGAUCAUUCAUAAUAAGUGUUUUAUGGCACUUUUUUAAAUCCAUAUCCACCUUGUGUGCAAUGUCAGUGUUGAUUUUUCUCUCGAGAGGAUCAACCCCAAACAUCAACUAUAUCUCAACUCUUUGUCUGAAAAAUAUUAUGAAUAAAACAAUUCAAAAUACAACUUUCAACAACGGAUCUCUUGGCUCUG
rnacentral:misc_RNA from 1 species